GCCAGCCAUGGUGGCGUGCACCUGUAGUCCUAGCUACUCAGGAGGCAAAGGUGGGAGGAUUGUUUGAGUCCAGGAGUUCUGGGCUGCAUUGUGCUAUGCCUAUUGGGUGUCCACACUAAGUUUGGCAUCAAUUCGGUGACGUCCCAUGGGUGGGGGACCACCAGGUUGCCUAAGGGGUGAACCAGACCAGGUGAACUUAACCAGGUGAGAAAUGGAGCAGGUCAAAACUCCCAUGCUGAUCAGUAGUGGGAUCACGCCUGUGAAUAGCCACUGCACUCCAGCCUGGGCGAUAUAGUGAGACCGUGUCUCU
rnacentral:SRP_RNA from 1 species